rnacentral:rRNA from 1 species
UACGUAGGGUGCAAGCGUUGUUCGGAAUUACUGGGCGUAAAGAGCUCGUAGGCGGCUUGUCGCGUCGACUGUGAAAUCCCGCGGCUCAACUGCGGGUCUGCAGCCGAUACGGGCAGGCUAGAGUUCGGUAGGGGAGACUGGAAUUCCUGGUGUAGCGGUGAAAUGCGCAGAUAUCAGGAGGAACACCGGUGGCGAAGGCGGGUCUCUGGGCCGAUACUGACGCUGAGGAGCGAAAGCGUGGGGAGCGAACAGG